rnacentral:lncRNA from 1 species
UUCUAUAUUCUUCUAUUGGAGAAUUUAUACAUAGAUGUAGUAAUUGCUAUUUUUUUAUGAAGUCCUUACUAUGUGGCAGGCACUGUGCUGACUGGUUUACGCAAACAUUCUUUACUAAUCUCACAACAAACCUGUGAUUGAUGGAAUUACUGUCCCUAUUUUACAGAUAUGGAGACCAGGACUUGGAGAGGCUAAGAAAUACCUUCAAGAUCAAAUAAGGACAGUGACAAGAUUCAUACCCAUCUGCCUGAGUCUUAAGCAUUUUGCUACUUUGAACCUAGGUCCAUCCUGCUCAUCUUUAGAGCCUCGCUGUUCUUUAUCCCCGGUAGCCAGCAGGGUACUGAGCCCUUGGAUCUCAGCCACAGACCUUGUGCUCCCAACCCAUGGGCUUCCCAGAGAGACCGCAGAUUGGCUGCCAACACCCUGAAGACAGCAAGGCUGCCCAGUCCCCCAAGGCCUGCCAAGGACAGAUUCUACCUGCAACGUGGACCCAGAGAGUCAUUCUCGAACAAAGGAACCCCAGAGGCCUGAACUUACUCAGAAUUGACUUCUGCGUCCUUCUAUUAUUGGGACUGACAUUUGAAGUUUUUAGAAUGAUUUAUUUUAGAGCAAUAGGAGUUGAAGGGCUUUCUUGAUGGCUCAGACUGUAAGCAGCCUGCUUGCAAUGCGGGAGACCUGGGCUCAAGAGCUGCGUCGGGAAGAUCCCCUGAAGAAAGGAAUUGCUACCCACUCCAGUGUUCUUGCCUGGAGAUCCCAUGGACAGAAGAACCUGGCAGGCUACAUACAGUCCAUGGGGUUUCAAAGAACGAAACUUUCAAAAAGCUUCCUCAAAUCAAUGCAAAUAUUAAUGGCGGUGUAUAAAUAAGAGACAUAAACAAAUUAUUAAUGCAAGAGGAUCCCUACUGGUGGAUAAGCAUAUGAAAACAAGUCUAAAUUUAUGACUAAUAAGACGUUAAAAUGAAAGUCAUGAAGUAUGAAUUCUUAGCAAUAAACUAUGCAGUAUUCAACA